CCCACAGAUUUGCAGGGCUGCACCUCUUCCUCUGAAUGUUUUUGAAUCAUAUGGUCUGAGACAAAGCACAGCAAACACACUCUGACAAAAAAAAGACGUGACCUGGAGCGUGUCAAACUGUUGUUUCCUGGAUCUGGAGACGAGAAAAGCUACCGAAGUUUGUUUUGAACUGCUAAGGGACUACAGAUGCAAAUUAGCCUUAAGCCGUGGUUCCCAACUGGCCUCCGUCCUGCAUCAGCUCAAAGGCAAACGCCACAUUAUGGACCUGAGGGGACACAACAAGGACACUCAGCGUACUGAUAAGGGCUGGGUUGUCGGGGCAGCAGGUCAAGCAAAGCACCCCAGACGUCCCUUUUCCCAGUGACGCUCCCAGGCCAGAUGAGAUAUGUAAUCCCUCCAGCAUGCUCUGGGUCUGGCCUGGGGCCUCCUACCAGUCUGGCCAUCCUCCUCUGACCUCUGGCAUCAACAAGGUACUCUCACCCAGAGAACUGCUGCUCCAUCCUCUAUAAACCCUAGAGAUGGUUGUGUGUGAAAAUCCCAGUAGAUCAGCAGUUAAUAAAAUACGUAAACCAGCCCGUCUGGCACCAACAACCAUGCCACGCUCACUUAAAUCACCUUUCUUUCUCAUUCUGAUGCUCGGUUUGAAUUUCAGCAGGUCGUCUUGACCAGCUGCCACAUGAUUGGCCAAUUAGUCACUGCGUUAACGAGAAGCUGAACAGGUGUACCUAAUAAAGUGGACAGUAAGUGUAUAUGUAUAUAUUCUUGUAUUUAUCCUCAUUUUCUUUCAAAUGUCAAGAUUAUUUACUACAUGGAAUAAAAUUAAACCCCUUUAAUGUCACUGUACAAAGAGAUUAGUGCUACAUCUGAUCAGGUGCCAACUAGUCAAUAAACAGCUAACGUAAUCAUACAUAAAAUCGGAAAUAGCAUAAAAAAAUACAAGGAAAAAAAUAGGCUGGAUGAAGCUUUUCUCUGUAUGUCUGUAAGCAUCAUAGCAUCGCACGUUUACAGACCUUAAUGGACUCAACAUACUCAAAAAGUCAAAUUAAUAUAAAUAAAUUUACCUUUUCUAUCUCAUACUUUGCACUCUGAAAAGGGACAACUCAAAGACUAUAAUUUAUUGGCAACUAUUAAUCAGAUAGUCAGAUUGUCAAUCACUAAAUUAGGUAGAAUAAUUUGACUCCCAAUUCCACAUUAUAAAGUAUAUUCCAUCUGUUUACGCCUCAUGAUGUACCACACUGUGCUGAGAAGAUGUUAUGUAAGGAGUGCGCUGUCAUCAAGUUGUGAGUUGCAGAAUCUUCAGUUGGUGAAAAAUGUUUAUCCAGUGAUUUUGAGCUGCAAACUGCUCUGUCACACGUCUGUAACUUCCUAAAUUUUUCUCCACCCAUGUGACGCUCUGUCUUUUCCACUACAGAUUGCAUUACAGCGCAGAAGUGUCCAUCAAAAGUUAUUAUACUUUGCAUACUGGCACUUUAUAGUGUAUUUCAUUUAGAAUGAGAAUUUAGUCUCAAACUGUGGACACUAAAGCUGAUUCAAGGUGACAACAAGACACAAAAAGUAACAAACACUGAUACACACUUUGAGAAAGGCUUUCAGUGCAAUCAAUUUCCACUGAGAGGCGUUCACUUCUGACUGCAGAGACACUCCAGGGAUUAAAAGGCUUUUUCUUCUUAAUGGCCACGCUGCUUUUAUCAUCCAGCAUUUCAAUUUGUACGACCUGCAACACGCCGGACUGCAAUCAAUGGUCUCAAAUCUGUCAUUUCAUUGACUCUGCUAUUCAGAGUGGCUGCACUUUGAGCUCCUUUUUUAAAUUAAAUGCAUUUUUCUGAUUGAAAAUAUAAUAAAGGGAAGUCUAGAGCUGUGUGUUUGUGAUACAAUCUGGAGAAAAUCUCAACUUCAAAGCCAGUGCAAAGAGAGGAUGUUCAGAAUAACCCCGGGGAGGAGAGGUCCCCAUAGAUUUCCUAUCUGAUUCAGCCCUCUCAUAAGAGCUGAAUCUCACUACAGAUCAGCACUUUGCUUUGUAAUUACAGAGCAAGCACGCUGCAUUUCAUCAUAAUUGUGCUGCUUCCUCCCUCUGCGUCUAUCUGACUGCAUUACUGCUGCUGGCACUUCACACAGUCAAGUGAAAAGUGAGUGAAAAAUGGUCACAUUAUACCGUAUAAUUAAUUUGCUAGAGCAGCUUUAUGCAGAAUGAUUUAUGGAAAUAAAAACAUUCACACUCGUAGAUCCAGAAAUACAACAGCAACCCUCACACUCAAUUCUGUUAAGUUAAAGAGACAUUUCACAGUGACUACUUACAUCUCGAUGACCUCUUACAACAACCGACACAACACAUUGCUGGAUAUUAACCUGCAGUUGCACUAAGGUAACAGGUCCUGCUUCCCCAUUUCCACUUCCAAGUUCCUCAAAGCCCAAAAUCAGAACCAC